UUGUCCUGAAGGAUGGAAGAGAUUUGGAUGCAGCUGUUACUUUAAAUCCAAUGAGGAGAAAACUUGGUCUGACAGCAGAAGUGACUGUCAAAGUAGAGGAGCAGAUCUGGUGAUCAUAAACAACGAAGAGGAACAGAAAUGUGUCACUGAGCUGAACAAGGAUGGAGACUCCUGGAUUGGUCUACAGGCCACAGAACGGACAGGAUGGAAAUGGAAAUGGGUGGACGACUCGCCGCUGACACUAAAGUUCUGGGCAACAGGACACCCGCACAGCAACAAAUAUUACGCUGCUGCCUGCUGCAAUAAACAAGGAAAUUGGACGAGCAGAUAUAUGAUCAGAAGAAGAACUGGAUCUGUGAGAAAUAGAUUUCCUGUUUAUCUUGAGGACAGAGGGGUGUGUAGUGUUGGGAUCAACUUUGUCAAAUUAGACCAACUCACAUUUUACAUUUCUUCAGUUGUUCAUUCUGUGUUGCAUCCUGAACAACCUGGAUUACAUAGAUAUUGUUCCUCUGCCCUACACAGUGAACAGUCUGGUUGGAAGUCAUCCACACAACUACAUGUGCACUUACCCUCUCUGCAGAGAGGGAUAUUACAACAGCCUGUUUUCAAAAAGCCUAAGAUGUCACAUACAUGACAACAAGGGGAAAGACGGCUCCUUUCUGUUUCAGUGUUAUUUAAGCCAUUAUCAUAAAGGACAAACCUCAUAGGCUUCUUCCACAGACCACUUACUGAUGUAGUUACACUUGGGAGGAGG